GACACGUGCUUUUCCGGUGAUUUUUUCUGGGGUUGGUCGGAAUUCUCUUCCGAACCUCGUGGUGGUCUCGGAUUUUGCUCAACACCAACAGAAAAGGUAGUUUAGUUACGGACAGCCUGUUAAGCCGCCGGAAAAUUGCACGGCGACGAGGUAUUCUUCCCGGAAGUAGCUGGAAUGACGCACAGCUAUAAUAUUCUCACCAAAGCUCUGAUACCAUGUGAGAAAGCACGGGAGAAGAAAAUUGCACGGCGACGAGGUAUUCUUUCCGGAAGUAGCUGGAAUGACGCACAGCUAUAAUAUUCUCACUAAAGUUCUGAUACCAUGUGAGAAAGCACGCGAGAAGAAUAUAUAUCUUGAUAUUAAACAUGAUACAACGAGCCAUAUAUAUAAUACACAUAACUUAACCUACUCCUAAUACACUUUAAAUAGAGUUCUACUAUAUUUACACUUCUAACGGUCCCCAUUUUUUCAUCUUCAUCGUUGUAACACCCAAUGAUGGCGUCUGGCUUUUAGCAAAUUUCUCACCAUAUUUCGGCAUCCCAGACCCUCACAUCAUAGUAAUUUUAUUACAAUCGAGUAUCCAAAAUGCGUUUGGCUAUUGCUCUGAAAAGCUCAACAGUAAUAAGUCUUUGUGAAAAUGCUUGAGCUUCAAUUCAUUUCUCUGCAUAAUAUAGUAUCCGCUUUGUCCCAUUUUAUGUGGCACACUUUCCUUUUAAGUCUAUCCCGAAUAGAAUGACAUCUUUCUUUAUUUGGAAGCAUUUUAAUGUUAAACUUUCAGUUUUACCCUUACUGAGAUGAUAUAUGCCUCACGAAUGUUAUAGUUUGUUAUAGACCAUAAGUUCAAAAAUCCUACUUUCUUUCUUAUACUCCGUGCCCAAUCAAACACCAUCACCUAAAAUGGGACCGAUGGAGGAUGAAAUUGUACUUGCUCUUGGACCAGGAAACAAUCCGAUGCUGCUUAUUUGAAAAAACAAUGUAUUGUAGUAAUGUCAUACUUUUUGUUAUGGUUCAUGAAAUAACCUUCCCUGUUAUAUGUUUCUUGGUGUUGAUCUCAUGGAAGUGUCCAUUUGCUUAUAUUGGUAAAUGCGUUGAAGAGCCAAACAGUGAAGUAUUAGCAAAUCUGAUAGUUAUUCAUUUAUAAGCUGAAUGACUUGUUUCUUGCAAUAGUGAGUUAUUCCUUGUAUCGUCCCGGGAAAUCUCAGCGCCUGAUGAUCUAAUUGGAGUUGAGUUAGGUCUAAGAUCCAUUUCUUCUCAUGACAUUAGAGUCAAACCCAUGCCAAUUCUUGGUUUAGCCGAUGUUGGGGGCCCAUAUUAUAUUGUCCACGCUGGUGCUUGUGAGGGAGUGUUAAUUUGUCCGACAUCAGUUGUGGGAGCUGGACUUGGUCUUCUUAUAUGGUCCUGGGCAAUCCUCGUCCUCAUUAGCAAGUUUUUGGGGUUGAAUUAGGUCCAAAGUACAUUUCUACAUUUCUUCUUAGUGGUCACGAGCAUUGAAAUAGUGUUGUUCGCUACAGGUAUUUGGUUCAGCAGGAGUUAUUGGCAAUCCUAUGAAUUAGGUCCAAAGUACAUUUCUACAGAGUCUUCUUAGUGGUCAUGGGCAUUGAAAUAGUGUUGUUCGCUACAGGUAUUUGGUUCAGCAGGAGUAAUUGGCAAUCCUAUGGGGUUUGUGAGGAGCAUGGGUCUUGGCCUUAAAGAUUUCUUGUCUGCUCCUGUUCAAAGUGUUUUCCAGGUACUUUCUGCAUUACGUGAUCUUUUAUCCUUCCCACUAGGUAUAAAGCUUUGUUCUUUCUGCAAGCCUUCCCACUUGAUAUAAAGCCCAGUUCUUUCUGCAGACCCGUGCAGGAUUUAUUAAAGGCAUGGCAGAAGGGACCUCUAGUCUUUUGAGUAACACCGUGUAUGCCUUAAGUGAUGCUGCCACCCAAUUCAGCAAAGCUGCACACAAGGUACUUCGAUAUCAAACAUCAUUUCAUACUCUAUAUAUUAUCUGACCACAUGUUCAUUCAUUUGAUCUUGUAGGGUAUUGUGGCAUUUACUUUUGAUGACCAGGCUGUCAGAAGUAUGGAAAGGCAGCAAAAGGGAAUAUCCUCCCGUAGCGAAGGGGUUAUAAAUGAAUUUUUAGAGGUAUGUUAUUUUCGUUUCUUAGCUCCCAUGGGCAUAGCAGCCUGUUUCACUUCCUCUUUUAACUCCCUUCGACUCUUCAUGGCUUUAGAAUAGCUUCUUCGAGUCUCGUUAUUUCUCAUGUGACAUUUUGAUUUGCAGGGUCUGACAGGUCUAUUACAAUCACCUAUUAGAGGGGCAGAGAGACAUGGCCUUCCAGGAGUCUUCUCAGGUAUCAAGUUUAUCCAUGCUAUUUUUCUGGUCUCUCUUGCAGCGAAGUUGAACCUCCGUGGAAGUGAAUUCUUUCUACUAAUUUAGACUAUUGUAGCUUCAAGCCUUCAAAACAUACUUCUUCUUGCAGGCUUAGCUCUUGGAGUGACGGGACUUGUGGCAAGACCAGCAGCCAGUAUCCUUGAUAUCACCGGCAAAACUGCACAAAGCAUCAGAAAUCGGAGCAAACUCCAUAAUCGUGGAUCUCAUCGCUUUAGGGUCCGUUUGCCAAGGCAUUUAACUAGAGAACUUCCUUUGCGACCUUACUCUUGGGAAGAAGCAAUUGGAGAAUCUAUUCUUAGAGAGGCUGACGAGCAGAGUAUGCUCAAAGACGAAAUGUUGGUAAUGUGUAAAGCUCUUAGGCAUGAUGGGAAGUUUGUUGUCCUCACUGAGCUGCUUAUAUUAAUUGUCUCCUGCUCCAGUAUAGUAAAAUAUGGGAAGCCCGAGUUUCAAGGAGUGCCUGCUAACCCAGAGUGGGGGAUCUCAUCGCUUUAGGGUCCGAUUUCCAAGGCAUUUAACUAGAGAACUUCCUUUGCGGCCUUACUCUUGGGAGGAAGCAAUUGGAGUAUCUAUUCUUACAGAGGCUGACGACCAUAUUAUGCUCAGAGACGAAAUGUUGGUAAUUUGUAAAGCUCUUAGGCAUGAUGGGAAGUUUGUUGUUCUCACUGAGCGGCUUAUAUUAAUCGUCUCCUGCUCCAGUAUAGUAAAUUAUGGGAAGCCCGAGUGUCAAGGAGUACCUGCUAACCCAGAGUGGUUGGUAGAAACUGAAAUCGGGAUAGAUAGUGUAAUCCAUGCUGAUAAGGACGAUGAUGAAGUACAUAUUGUAGGAAGUAGCUCAGAUGCAUUGCUAAGGCAGAAUCACAUUUCGCACAAAAGAAGCUGGGCAACUAAGGGAAAGAGAUGGAACAACAAUCCUCGAACUUCGCUUCCGCUUUUCCAGACCAAUUUGAUUUUCGCGUCAAAUGACCAAGCAGAAGACUUUUUGGCGGUACUUCUAGCUACGAUUAACAAGGCUAAAGAGCGAGGUCGGAGUUCUGUUCAUCUGCUUCAUCAAAAUAAUAUCAGGAAAAUAUAGAACGAUGCAAAGGAUCCAAGUAUUUUGCUAUAUGUACAUUGUACGUUAUGUACAUAAUCUGCUCUGUCCAUUUUCUGUAUAAUUUUUGUUCAUGACUGUUCAAUUAGUCUAAGAAUUCCAUUCCUUAAAGGCACACCCGUUAACAAAAUUCUACUAACUCUAUGUCUUUUUGAUACAGAGUUCUUUCAUUUUAUAUUUUGAGAUUUCAAACCCAACACCCGCAAGUAACAAAACAACCACGAUUAUUCAAUUUAUUAGAUAUUUGUUCGAAUCUGUUAUUCGUCGUUAGUUUAAUAAUAUAUCAUGACAGCAUGAAGCAACAUUAAAUGAUGUUGGGAGUUGGUAUGCAGAAAAUAUCGUCACUAUGAAAUUUCUUGCUUGUUCAAUGUAGUUUAUCGGCUGAGCACCGUCCGCAUUAAUUGAGCUGCGACUGAAGUGAUGGUUGUGUGAAUGCUGAGCCGUCUAUCUGGCCAACGUUUGGCAAAUUUCAAUGGGGUUGGGAAAGUGAGGGCUGGAGGCACCAUUGGCAGAUCAUGUAUUGCCAAUUGGAAGAGAGUUACUUUUUGUUGAAAUUUGGGGUCGAGUUCUAGUGAGAGAAGGCCUUUCCACCAUUUAAUACACCCCAAAAUAAACAUUUAAGAUACAGUUAUGGAUGCCUAACACCCUUUAAUGUUAGUUCUCAUAUCAUCCAUGGAUGAAAUCCUUAUUAUUUCACCAAAUCUUCACGAUCACUACAAAGUCAAAAGCUAGGGUACUUGACCAAAAUAGAUAAUAUUUAAACCCCUCAUUCAAGUACAACUUUAAGGUUGAUAUUUGGGGGCUAUGUCGAGUUGAUAAACAUUAGUUGAUCACUAGUUCAUGAAUGUCUUAAGAACUAGGGUUUCUAUGAAUAAUAAAUGGGUUGUUGCAAUGUUUAGUAGUAAUGAAUGUAAGUAGCUUCAUUUUGUACAUACAUAGCUAAGGUGAACUGAUGUGGCAGUUAGUUGGAAGAUUUAAGAAAUUAGUUAGAAGCAGUUAAGAAGUUAUUUGUUGUUAGAAGUUAGCAUAGGCGGGAAAGAGAAGAUGUCAAAUUAGCUACAUAUGAAGAUCUCAUAUGCAUAUUUGGAUCUCAUUCAUGAAAUAGCAUUCUUCUUCUACUCUAAAUUGCUCUUCUCUUAGCUAACAUAUCGAUUGAUAGCCUGAUCUAGCCGGACUAUUCUUCGAAAUUAUUCAUUACACUCGGUUGCACUGUGUGCAUCAAUUGGUCUUAGAGCCGCUCAAUCCUUGGCACUAAAUCAUGGCUAAAAAUAGUAAGAUGACCAGAAACAGAAAUCAAGACCAACAAUCUGAAGACAUGGAGGAAAAAACUUGUUCCGAUUCAAUUACAAUUGUAUAAACUUAUGGAAGGGAUGACUAAUAUGAAUGAGCGAAAUCUAGUAGCUGAUAAGGAAUUGAUGGAGCUGCGAGCUACUAUCAAUAACUUUAGCAAGAAGUGAAAUGGAACUGAAAUCUUUAGGGCUGAAUCUUCCACAGAUAAGAGAGAUUGCCUGAUUAUAUUGAAUCCGAAAGGAAAGCCAGAGACAAUCAUGUUGCCAACAAACCACGGGUAAUUUCUUCACUAGGUACUCUAGGUUGGAAUUUCCUAAAUUUUUUGAACAUGAUUUGAAAAUAUGGCUGUAUAAGGUGGAUCAAUUCUUUGCUAUGGACGAAGUUCCUUUUGAUCAAAGGGUCAGGUAACUCCAAUUCAUUUAGAAGGUGGGGAAAUUGUUUGGCAUAGAGCUUACAUCAAAGCUAGGAAUUCAGUAAUUGAGCCUACUUAGGCUGAGUAUGUAAUAGCUCUGAAUGUUUGGGAAAGAAUUUGGAGAUCAUAUUGAGUCUCAAAAAUUUGGUGUAGGCUGGUAGUGUGAAGGUGUAUCAAGCUGAAUUUGAUGAGUUGCUAACUAGUGUGAACCUCUCUAAUGAGAACAUUAUCGAUUAUUUUCUGGGAGGAUUGAAACAUGAACUUAAUAAGGCAGUAAAGGUGCAAGCUCCAAGGACCUUAAUGCAAGCUUAUAUAAUUGCAAGGUUACAAGAAGAGAUGUUUGAAGCCCAAGCCAAAACAUGGGGAUUGAAACCUGUAUAUAGAUCAUCUCAAAAUGGACUGUCACCCACUCCAAACCAUUAUAAACCUCAUAAUCUACAGAAACCAAACACUUUCCAACCUACAUUUAAGAAACCAAAUGAUUCACAGCAGGUUAGGCCUAAUAAGAUCCUAGGGAAAAGGUUGACGGCUACAGAAAUGCAUGAAAAAAGAGCAAAAGGUCUUUGUUUCUUUUGUGAUGAGAAGUAUGCUGCGGGGCAUAAAUACAAAUCCAAUAGAUAGAUUUAUAUGGUGGAGGUUGUGGAUGGUAAUAUAGGUGUAGAAGAGGAUGCAUUGCAGCAAGCUGUGGAAAGGAACUCAUGACAAUUUCACUGUAGGCUUUCACGGGUCAUGAGAAAAGGCCUCGACAAGUCCCUAUUGAUAUAGGAAGAGUCCGCAAUUUUAUAGACCAAGAUAUGGCCUAGAAGCUAGGAUGGAAGGCCAACAAUAUCAUUGCUCAAUCUGUCAGUGUAGCUGAUGGAAGAAGAGUGCAAACAACUUCAGUUUGCAAGAAUCUCCAAUGGCUUCUGCAAAGUACUACAUUCAGUUCUGACUUCUUAUUGUUACCUUUGGGUAAUAUGGAUAUUGUAUUGGGUGUUUAGUGAUUAAAUACUUUGAGUAGGAUACUGUUUGACUUCAGGAAUAGAACAAUUGAGUUCAUGUAUCAGGGUAAAAUACAUGUUCUAAUAGGAGCAAAUAAUCAGUUGAAAAUCAACAAAGGCAAAAACUGUUAAUAAGAUUGAAGAGGACAGCACUCAACUUUUUAUGUUAAUUGUAGCCACUAAUGAAGAUGAAUGGAUUUAUUUCCAUAAGUUUCUAGCUACACAAGGUGAUUUCUUUGCUCCUGAACUAGCUAGCUUAAUUGACCAAUAUGCUAGCAUAUUUGAUGUGCCUAGUACCUUGCCACCUCACAGAGGUGCUUUUGAUCAUAGAAUUCCAUUAGUUGAAGGAGCUAAUCUAAUCAAUAAAAGGCCUUACACUUAUCGUGGAAUUAAAAAGGACAUCAUAGAAAACUUGGUAAAAGAGAUGUUAGACCAGGGGGUAUACAACAUAGUACUAGCCCCUAUGUCUCACUAGUUGUGUUGGUAGGUAAAACAAAAUGGGAGUUGGAGACUAUGUAUUGACUAUAGAGAGUUGGAUCAUUGACCAUUAAAGAUAAAUUCCAUAUACCUAUUACAGAGGACUUACUGGAUGAAUUAGGUGGUGCAGUGGUAUUCUUUAAAGUUACAGGUUAUUAUCAGCUAAGGAUGGCUGAGGGUGACACUCACAAGACAACCUUUAAAAUUUAUGAAGGCCACUAUUAUGAGUGAGUUUUUGGUUAUGCCCUUUGGCUAACCAAUGCCCCAUCUUUCUUCCAAAACCUUAUGAAUUCAGUCUUCAGACUCUUACUAAGGAAGACAAUAUUAGUCUUUGUGAUGAUAUACCAAUAUACAACAAAUGUAUGGAUUAUCAUGUAAAGCAUGUGGAAGCUGUUUUAGAACUAAUGUUGAAAUACCAGCUAUAUGCCAAGAUGUCUAAAUGAGCAUUUGGUGUCUCUAAAGUGGAGUAUUUAGGAUACUUUAUUAGUCAAUAAACAGUUGCUACAGAUCCUAAAAAGAUUACAACGCUUGAACAAUAGUGCAUUCCUGAUAAUAUUAAGCAACUAAGAGGGUUCUUAAGCCUUGUUGGCUAUUAUCGGAGGUUCAUAUAAGGUUAUGGCAAUAUAUGUCGACCGCUACAUCAUUUACUUAAGAAGGAUGGUUAUGUUUGGACCUCUGAACCUACUGCAGCAUUCCAAAAGUUGAAGAAAGCAUUGAUGUCUAGGUGCUGGAGAUCUACUGAUAUAAGCUAUUGGAUGCCCUUACUGCAUCAACACAGCACAUAUGUCCUUACUACAUUUGUCCUUGCCAUGUCUGUCUAUGACAAGGAGCUUUAGCUCUUAUAUUUGAUGUUACUAAAUGGUCACGCUACCUCUUGGGGAGACUAUUCAUAGUCAGGACAGAUCAAAAAGCAUUGAAACACUUGCCGGAGCAACAAAUUCACACUGACUUUCAAAUAGGUGGCAUUUCCAAGCUUAUGGCUAUUGAUUUCUCUAUAAAGUAUAAAAAGGGAGCUGAGAAUAAGGUUACUUAUGCAUUGUCUAGGGAACUUGACUCUAUACUAUUAGCUAUUUCCUUAGUGUCUCCAAAUGACUCCCUGUAUGAUCAAAUCAAAUCUAUCUCGACUUCUAAUACUUUGUAAGAGUUGAUUUCCAAAUUACAAACUCAACAUUUCAAGUCUUUUACUUGGUGUAAUGACCAGCUAAAAUUGAAGGGUAGGCUGGUGGUUGGUGCUGAUCAACAACUCAUAACACUUACAUUAGCUUGUGGCAUUCAACAACACAAGCUGGGCAUUCUGGAAUGGAUUCUACCUUAAAAAGGCAGCAAUCCCUAUUCAAUUGGAAGUUACUGGCUACAGAUAUCAAAGACUUCAUCAACAAAUUCAAUGUGUGCCAAAGACAUAAGUAUGAUGAUGUUUCCUCUCUUGGCCUGUUGCAACCAUUACCUAUACCUGCUGGGGGUAUGGACUGACAUCUGUUUAGGUUUCAUUGAAGGAUUUCCUAGAUCCCAUGGUAAGGAUGUCAUUUUGGUUGUUGUUAAUAGACUUAGCAAGUAUGGUCAUUUUAUGGGCCUACAACAUCCCUAUAAUGCCCAGACAGUGGCUCAAUCAUUAUAAGACAAUGUUUUUAAACUACAUGAGUGGCAUGCUACCAUAACCAGUUAUAGCGAUCUAAUCUUUCUCAGCAACUUUUGGCAAGAAUUUCUUGCUAUGCAAGCUGUUCAAGUGCAGAGAUCAACAGCAUAUCACACCCAAACUGAUGGCCAAACUGAAGUUUUCAACAUAACUUUAGAGACCUGUGUGAGAUGUUUUUAUUCUGAUAGCCCUCUAGACUGGCCUAAGUAUCUACCAUUAGUUGAAUGGUGGUAUAAUACUACCUAUCAUACUACUAUCAAAUGCAGUCCCUAUGUCAUUUUAUAUGGCUAGAAACUAGCUCUUUAUCUUCCCUAUCUAGCUGGUGGAGCUAUUUUAGAAAUAGUUGAUAGAUCCUUGGCUGCUUGAGAGGCAAUCUUCUGAAGUUCCAUCUAUUGAGAGCACAGCAGAGAAUGAGGGAUCUAGCUGACAAACACAGAUCUAAUAGAAACUUUAAACUAGGAUACUAGUCGUAUCUUAAGCUACAAUCUUAUAGGCAGGUGUUUGUUGCUACUGGACCAUUUAACAAGCUUGCUGCUAAGUACUAUGGCCCUUAUCCUAUUGAUGCUAAGAUUGGAGUUGUUGCCUACAAACAGCUCCUUCCUGCUGAUGUUCUUAUUCAUCCUACUUUCUGUGUAUCUCAAUUGAAGAAAUGCCAUGAAGUGCCUACCAAUAUCAAUUAUCCUCAUGUAUUUCAUCUCUCUAAUCCUUAUUGUCCAUUGCCUGGGGAAGUGUUAGCUAGGAGGAUGGUGAAGAGAGGCGAUAAAGUUGUAGUACAAGUGUAGGUCAAAUAGACAGGCUGAUUCCUCUCAAGCCACUUGGGAAUAUGUCUCUGAGCUGCAACAUCGAUUUCUUUCCUUCUUGUCUUGAGGACAAGACUAUGCUUCUAUAGGGUGCAUUGUUGAAAUUUUUAUUAGUAAUGAAUGUAAUUAGCUUCAUUUAUACAUACUUAGCUAAGGUGAGCUAAUGUGGUAGUUAGUUUGAAGAUUCCAGAAAUUAGUUAGAAGCAGUUAGGAAGUUAGUUGUUGUUAGAAGUUAGUUACAUGGACGGGAAAGAGGGCAUCAAAUUAGCUAAAUAUAAAGAUCUCAUUGUAAACAUUUGGAUCUCAUUCAUGAAAUAAUAUUCUUCUUCUUCUCUAAAUUUUUCUUCUCUUAGCUAACAUCUCGGUUGACACCCUUAUCUAGCCUAACUGUUCUUUGAAAUUCUUCAUUUUUUGGAGCAGUUUACACUCGAUUGCACUGUGUGCAUCAUGCGUAGAGACGAAGAUGAAGUUUCGGUGAUUAAUUUCUACUAUCUAAUUUAUUUUUAUUAGAUCUUGCGAUAUUGGUUUGGAUAAAAGAAACUAAGAUGCUUUGGGGAAGUCGAAACCCCCCCCCCCCCCCNNNNNNNNNNNNNNNNNNNNNNNNNNNNNNNNNNNNNNNNNNNNNNNNNNNNNNNNNNNNNNNNNNNNNNNNNNNNNNNNNNNNNNNNNNNNNNNNNNNNNNNNNNNNNNNNNNNNNNNNNNNNNNNNNNNNNNNNNNNNNNNNNNNNNNNNNNNNNNNNNNNNNNNNNNNNNNNNNNNNNNNNNNNNNNNNNNNNNNNNNNNNNNNNNNNNNNNNNNNNNNNNNNNNNNNNNNNNNNNNNNNNNNNNNNNNNNNNNNNNNNNNNNNNNNNNNNNNNNNNNNNNNNNNNNNNNNNNNNNNNNNNNNNNNNNNNNNNNNNNNNNNNNNNNNNNNNNNNNNNNNNNNNNNNNNNNNNNNNNNNNNNNNNNNNNNNNNNNNNNNNNNNNNNNNNNNNNNNNNNNNNNNNNNNNNNNNNNNNNNCCCCCCCCCCCCCCAGAAUUAAUUUCUCCUACAAUUCCAUGUCUUAAAAAAUAUGUCUUCAUGACUAAGUAGUUUCUCAAUUGCUAUGUUCUCUUUCAAAUAUUAGGUUUCGUUCCAAAAAAAUCAUUUUAUAUGCAUUCUGAAGUGGGCUUUAGAAGUAACCCAAUGCCUCAUGUUUGGAGAAAACUACCAUCUAUAGCCCCUUAAAAUUCUUAUAGCCCAAGUUUUUUUUCACUUACAAGAAAUGGCCCUUCGGCCCAAACUUAUUGCAUCCAAUAGCCCGAAAUAUCUAUUUUAUAUAUAUUUUGUAAAAUAAUAGUCUGUUUUGUAUAUUUUUUGUAUUUUUACAGUCUAUUUUGUAUAAUGGCAGUCUAUUUAGUAUAUUUUUGUAUAGUGACAGCCUAUUUGUAUAUAUUUUGUAUAGUGACAAUCUAUUAUAUAUAAAUUUUAUAGUUAUAAUAUAUUUUGUAUAAUUUUUGUAUAAUGACAGUCUAAUUUUUAUAAUGACAGUCUAUUUAAUAUAUAUUUAGUAUAACCAUAGUUCAUUUUUUAUAAUUUUUGUAUAGUGAUAAUCUGUUUAGUAUGUAUUUUGUUUUCAAUUAUCACUUUCAGAAACAUACUUCAAUACGUAAAAUAUUUUUGAUUCAUCUUCCACAGAAGAGUUGAUAAAAAUUUAUCAGACUCAUUGUACAGAGAGAGUAACAAGAAAUUGAGACUCUGAGUCAAAGUCGGGAUCCAUUCAUCACGCCCGAACUAAUGCACACAUCCAUGAAGAAACCUUCUUCUCAUCCUUCUUUGGGUACACCCCAGACAUAUCUUUCUCGCUCAUCUUAGCCUUCUCUUUCGAUCCCUUUACUUUUCACACAACACUUGCAACUGGUUUGUCCUUUUGUGCCCCCUUUUCAACAUUCAUAUUAAAAGUCACAGUCUCCGCAACCACUCUAAGCAUGAGUUCCUCUCUUGUAUAUCUAAUAUAGCUCUACUUGUCGCUAAGAAUGGUCUUCCUAGGAUAAAGGGGACCUUAUUGUUUUCCUCCAUCAUUACCACUAUAAAAUCCACAGGAAAUACGAACUUGUCCACCCGAACUAACAUAUCUUUCACUAUGCACUCGAGUAUUACAGUCGUUUGGUCUGCCAACUACAAAGAUAUGGGUGCCGACCUUAUCUCUCCAAUCUCCUUCUCCUAUUUCCUGUAGAUAGAUAGAGGCCUUACAUUAAUUAAUUGAGGCACCAGAAUCACAUGAGGAUUUAUCAAAAUUAAUAGUUCUUAAAGAGUAAGGUAUAGUAAAUUUCCCUGGAUCUCCACACUUUUUGUGAGAGUUUAUUCUGCACUAUCGUGCUGCAAUGCUUUGUAAGCUUGACCACUAAGGCUUCAUAUACUUUCCUCUUCUUCGUAAGGAUCCCUUUCAAGAAUUUAGCAUAAUAAGGAAUUUGUGAGAACACUUCUAUGAAUGGUAAGUUUAAAUGAACCUAUUUCAACACAUCCAGAAAUCUCUCAAACUGCCUGUCCAGCCUUUUUCUACAUAGCUUUUGGGAAAAAGGUGAAGUAGACAUAUGCUUGCUCUCCUAAGGAUCUCCCCUUCUUCUUUUUCUCAGCAUCCUUCUGGCCUUUCUUCUUCUUAUCAUCUGCUCCCCACUUUCUUUUUAAGGUCUAAUAUCUUUUUGAGUUAGGGUGAGACUAUAUUCAAUAUUUCUUUGGGGUUUCUUUCAGUAUCAAUCGGGAGACUUCCUAGAAUCCUCUUAGAUAAUAUUGUUGAAAUUUGUCCCACUUGUUUCUCUAAAUUUCAAAUUACUUCCUCUUGUACUUCAAAUCUUUCAUCAAUUUUCACAAUGAAGGCCUUGAGAUCUUCUAGACCAUGUUGAUUGGGCUUUUGAGGCUAAAACUGCUGCCGUGGCUGAUUCAUUUAUUUAGGAGCUCCUUGUCCCUAGAAUCUAGGGUUGUUUUGUUGCCAUGCAUUUAUGGUACCCCCAGGUGAACUCUAUGAAAAACUGGGAUGCUUCUGACCCAUUGCAUUAAAGUUAUAAUUUUACACAACAUUCACUUCCUCAGUUGAGGCUUGACACUCAUGAGUAGGGUGUUUCCUACACAAAUAUCACAAGUUGUAUGACGCUUACUUUGUAUUGUGGCUAAGGUUAUCAUUUGUAUUUCUUUAGCCAUAGCAUCAAGUUGUACUUGCAUAGAUAUAUUAGCAUCAACUUGGUGAACACCAGUUGAUCUUCUUCUUUCAGCACUCUCAGAAGGGCACUGAUUAGCAUCUUCAGAUAAUUCAUCAAGAAUUGAAACUAUCUCAUCUGGGUCUUCUUCAUCGAAGGGCCUAUGACUACAUUGCUCAAUGCUCUACGCGAGGCUGGUGUCAAUCCAUCCUAAAAGUACUGGAGUUGCAUCCAGAGUUUGAUUCCACUAUGUUGAAACUUUUUAACUAUCUCCUAAAACCUUUCUCGUGCUUCAAAAAUAGUUCCAGUCUCUUUCUGGCAAAAGUUAUGGAUUUAUCCUUUAAGCUUUCCCGUCUUAGCGGAGGAGAAAUAUUUAUCAAUAAAUGUUCUAGUCAUCUCCUCUCAUGUUCUAAUCGAUCCAUUAGGAAAACUUUGAAUAUAAUGCUUCACAUAAUCUUUAAUUGAAAAAGGGAAUGCCCUUAAGUGUACUGCAUCUUUUGAUACCCCAUUGUAUUGGAAGGUUUUCACAGUCUCCUCGAAGUCCAAUAGAUGCAUGUUUGGAUCUUCAUCCAUCUUUCCUCUAAAGACACAUCAGUUCUGAACGGUUUGAAGGAACCCUUGCUUCAACUCAAAAUUGUUUUCUACAAUGGGAGUUGGACUAACACUUGAUAAUCCUUGAAUGUAGACUGGCCUAGCAUAGUCACCAAGUGGUCUCUCGGGCAUGGGAUCUGUAUUUUUGAAAUGGUCUGCAACCAAGGGUUGACGUUGAUUAAUUUCGUUACCCAUCUCUACUUUAUAGACAUUCUGUGUAUCUCUAUUAGUUGCUUCCUCAAUAUCCCGUGCAACUUUUUCUCAUUGUUGUACUACCUUUCUCACAGCUAAAUCUACAUUAUCAUCACUAUUUUCCGGCCAUAGUUUCUUGGGUUGAGGAUUGCCCAACCUUUUCUAACCUCUUGGUGAGAUAUCUUUCUUUCCUCAACUGUCCCGGUUUAUUUUUCUAACUCUGGCUCAUAUGGUAGCACUUUCUUCGUAGAAGCUCAAGUCAUGCACCAAUCUUAACCUGUAACCUGCACAUAGUCAAAGAACACCAAACGUAAAAAGAGAAGAAAAAAACUCUUGAAUUAGCACUACAAUCUAUUGCAAACACUAUUGAUUGUCAAUCCCCGACAACGACGCUAAAAUUUUGACUCAUACUUAAAUUAUGCUCGCUAGUCAAUGUAGUAUAGUAUAAUAUCGUAACAAUAUAGAUUGGAUUUAAACAAUAUUUUUGUAUUUUCUAGCUUGAUUUCUAUCUAGGAGGAUCAACGAUUAAGAUUUACACGACUACUAAUUAAAAUUAGCUAAGAAUCUAAAUCUAUUGACUAGUGACUAUCGAGACAAGGAAUAAAAAAAUAAGGUUAUCAGCGGGUGAAGAUUGAGUUUUGAUAGGAUCGGUGCAAGAUAAUUGUUCGGGAUAUAAAUCUAGAUAAUUGACUUCUCAUGUUCAAGUGAGUCUCUCGAAUUUAAUCAAUUAUAAGUUCAAACGUUUAGCAAAAACUCCUCUCUCGUUUAAGUCUUAACCUCACGAGAUGAACCAAUUUAAGCACUAUGAGAAUAUGCAAGAAUACGUGAUAGAUUGAUCUUUAGGAAAACCUCUUUCGAAUAUUUCCCAAACUAGGUUUAAUCAAUGAUUCAAUUAGCCUCUUUCGAUUACUUAGAAGAAUCUAUGAAUUCAACCAACAAUAUACUGCAAAGAUAUCAGAAGUUAUGCAUCUCGCGGUUACAUGAACUAGUGAAUAUAGAUGCAACAAUCAAAUCAUCCAAAUUGCUUCAAUACAUAAAACUAGAUUUACAAUCCACAAACAAUAAUCAAUCCACCAAAUCCAUCAAACCCUAAAGUGAACUACUCCAAAGACAUAGAGAAAUUCAUCACAAUUUUAAUUAGAGUAUAGACAAAUAUAAGUUCAAUCCAAACUCGGGUCUUGAGUGAGAAAGGAAUUAUGAAAUCCUUGUUCUUGUGUUCUUCCAACUCCUUCCUAGCUUCCUUAGGUCUCAAGAAUGUCAAAAGUCCAAAUAUUAAUAUUUUUCCAUCUAUUUAUACCAAGUAGGGUCGGGCCCAGACAAAACUACCAUUUCUAUCCGAAAUAGGAAAAUCGCUCUGGGAAAAAUACAUAGGCAUGUUGCAUGGGGAUACGCACCAUGUGGGGAAUUAGUGGAGAUUAUCAAAGAGCAUGCAAAAUUCAAUAGGUAUCCAAAGCACAUUAUUGCGUGCAAUGUGCCGCAACAGUGCCAAUACCUCAUAAGGAUGCUUCUUUCUUGAUUUUUGAUGUCCAGGCGCGAUCCCCGACCCUCGAACAUUAUCUCGGCUUAAUUCUUUGGGAUUUUACUCAGAUGUAAUAACUCCAAACAGCUCAAAUUAUCUCCACAACGUCAACAUAACUCGAAAUCACUCAUACAAGGCAUAAAACACACAAUAAGUGCAAAACACUAUCAAUUAAAGCUCAAACACAAGUAAAGUGCAGUGAAUUAGAGUGUAAUAAGUGCACAUCUUUUUCUAUGGUAAAUUGUACAAUCAAUUUUCAGAAUGAGCUGUCUACUGUCACUAGUUCUUACUAAUCCAUUUUAUUGUUUGGAAAUUUAUGAUGUUAACAUUAGUUUUAUCAUGUACUGAAUUCAUCAUUUUUAAGAUGAUAUAAGUUGUUCAAGGUCCAACAAUAAGCUAGUUAGAUCCCAUCAAGUUUUGGAAUGACUUUAUUUGUGUUAACUGUUGCCUAUCGUGAAUGGGGAGAAAUUGCACACUUUUUCCACGUAAUUUUAGUAUUUUACAAAUUUAGACAAUACAAUAUGGCUGUGUACAGAUAAAAUGAGGGUAAAAGUGCACCCCGAUUUCUCAAUGAAAAAAUGAGGGGACACGGAUCCACGAGACUGUAAUCAAAGUGAGAGACCUUUCAUAUCGAGAUACAAGGAGAGCAUACGAUAUAUCCAUUAUCGAAUGUAGCAAAGCAAUGCAUCCCGGGCCAAGUAUAAGUUAUAGACCUCGGGGGACAUGACGAACGGUUGUGCUUGGUAGAUAGAGGGCCGUGACACUCGCCCUCAAUCGGAUAUCACGACGUGUAUCUCACUUGAUGUCGAUUGUGGAUCAACAAUUACCUGGAAAAGAACCUUUUACCCUUUUAGACUUCUAUUAAGACAAAAACUCUCAUAUUAUAGAAAGAGAAAAUUUUUCUUUUCUUGGACACGUUGUAGCACGCAAAUCAAAGCAAUAAAAAUAUUUUCCUUUUAGCUAUUGUUAUAGUUUUGCUCAUUUAUUUUGAUCUUCAUCAUGACUGGGCUUAAAUAGAGGUUCCAAUAGAGGAUGAGGUCAUUAGUUAGUCUAAGUUCAGGCUUGGCCAUAAUAUUGCAACUGAUUAGAACAUUUAUUUUAUUUAUUAAUCACUUAUUUGAUAUUCUUAAUUGUUCGUGCUGGAUUAAACUACAUAUCUUUAAAAUCGCAUACAAAUUUAAUUGUUACCUAAUUUUAGGGUAAACAGUUUUGGGCCCACCGUGGGGCUGAGGAUAAUAAUGGUGAUUUGAUACGAACCUCCAUAAUACACCAUAUUCUACGCUUGUUCUUUGAAGUCUUAAUUUCAGGUCAUCCCAAAAAUGUCAAACUCUCAAUCUUCUCACUUGAACAUUGAUGAUGAGUCUAGCUAUUACGGCGAAAAUAAUAAUUUGGUGCCCAGCAACGAUAUGCCUCCUAUCAAUCCUAAUAGUGUCCAGCUACUGACCUGGUCGAUGCUAACUCACAUGUGGCCAUCAACAUCAAUUUGACAACUGAUCCCGAAAAUAUUAUUUGCGAGAACCUUGACCAACAGCUUAAGAAGCAUUCGAAGGCCAAGGAACUUCGGGGGUUGAGCCUCUAAGUGAAUGCCUGAACGGGGCAAAUCAUCAACAACCAGAGGUAGGUCCAUCCAUUCCAUCUGGAACCUUGACAAGAACACCCUGAGCAUCUCAUUGUCCCUCAGUUUGACAUUGAAAAGAUCUAAAUUUUUGGUCUCGACAUUGAUGGCCUCGGCAUGGGCUUUUACGAAAGCAUCUGCAAGUAUAACAAAUGAAUUAAUGAAAUGUGGGGGCAAGUUGUGGUGAUAUAUCAUUGCUCCCUUGGACAAAGUCUCCCCAAACUUCUUCAGUAGCAUCAACUCGAUCUCAUGGUCUUCCAAGUCGUUCCCCUUGAUCGCGCAUGUAUAAGAGGUCACAUACUUGUUUGUAUUCGUAGUCCCAUUAUAUUUGGGGAUUCCAAGCAUACAAUUCCGAGAGAAAGAAGUCAUUAACUUUAUCUAGGAUCACAAAAUAUGUCGAUUUGGGAUACCGAUUGAGAUUGUUUGCAACAACAAGAAAUAAUUUAUCUCCGGCAAGGUGAGUAAGUUUUUCAAAGAUCAUAAGGUCAAGAAGAUACUAUAAAUACCUUAUCACCCUAGUAGGAAUGGGCAGGCAGAAUAAACAAACAAAAAUAUACUCCAAACCCUAAAAAAGAGGUUGAUAGGCUCGAAAGAAUAAUAUAAGGAAAUCAUGCUCGAAGUCUUGUAGACAUACUGUACGAGUUUGAAAUCAAGCAUCGGGGCAACCCUAUUUUCUCUUGUCUAGGAACUGAAGCUUAAUACCAGUAGAUGCGAGGGAACCGAGCCUCAGAUUCAAGUAUGCUACCAGAUAUUCAAAUGGCAAAGCCAUGGACAUGAGCCUGGAACUGCUGGACGAAAGGCGAGAAGCCUCCAUGGUCCGGUUGGCUACCCUGAAGUAGCGAGUAGGAAGGUACUACAACUGAAGAGCCAACCUCCGACAUUUUCAAGUCGGGGACUUGGUAUUGAGAAAGGUAAACCUACACAUCAGGAACCUGUAUGAAGGGAAACUGGGCUCGAAUUUGGAAGGAUCGUAUCAAGUUGUCCGAAUAAUCGGCAAAGGCUCAUAUAAACUCAAAGAAGGAAACGAUGUACAACUAACAAACAACUAGAACGUGGUACACUUAAAGUGAUACUACUGCUAAGGUAUGAGAUUAAUUAUUUUUUAAUUUUGUUGUACCACAGACUAAUAAAAGCAAGUACUCGGACAAGGGAGAAUGUGGUUGUUAGGGCUGAAUUCGUGUGUUGCACUCAUUUUCUCUUGAAUCGGUUUUGUCCUAAAGUGGGUAUUCGGCAAGGUUUUUAAUGAGGCAUUAGUAAAAUGUGCUACUUUAGAUUUGAAGACUGACCUUAAACUGGAAUCGAUGAUUGUUUGUAUCAGGUCAACAUUAUCCGAGUCCUCAUAAGUUUGUCCUCAAAUAUUGGGUGCCAUUACCCAUAGAUUAAGAUCUUUAGAAACGGAAUAGAAAAUUUUAUGUGUCAAAAGCUAAGGCUUGGUAGUUAGGAUUUUUUGUAAGGGUCAAAGUAUCAUGUGAACUGUGCCCACAUAGUCCACUAUAGCCACGACACAAGGUUUAUGUGCUUCUAAUCAUGUACCUUGCAUCUUCAACAAUAAAAGAAAUUUCUAUUUCCAUUAAACUUUAUUACUACUCAUUUUAAAGCCCACGAGCUACCCUAGUUUGGGACUUUUGACUAGUAAAAAUACGGACGAUCAGGGGUUUCCCAGUCCCGAGGGUACCAAGCCUAUUAGGCAGCGUCCAAAGACAAAAGGCUAUGACCACCCUAAAAUGGCUCGGACACGUCCGAAGUUCAUACUCAGAAAGUAAGGCCCUUACAAAAAAUUAAAAUCUAUUAAGACACUUAAACAUCUUAAAACCUUUUUAUUUUAUCAAAGACUUGAAGCCACAAAUAAUCUAGAGUUGCCACUGAAAUCGAGCCCCAUUUGGGCCUCCAAAUAAUGGAUUCUCUAGUGAAUGUUUGAUUUUAUGUUAAGGCAUUAAAAAUGAUACGCAAAUAAAUCAUUGCAAACAGAUGUUAGGAAGAACUACUAUAUUUCCAAAAAGGGAAAAUAUUAUAUAUUUCAGAAAAUAUUUACAAAGGCACGACAAAAUAGUCUCAAAAUAAACAAAAAAGAAAAUACACAAGGAAAAACUAAAAAAGUAAGGCAUUUACACCUGGUCCACAUCGGGGCUUGACUCAUCACCAAAACCGACGACACCCUCGGAACCCUCGAAGCCUUUGGGAUCCUCCGGAUCAUAGAGCUCCUUUGCCUCAGCCUUUAUUCUCUUGGCUUCUUCAAUAUCGACCUACAGGUCAAAACCUCGGGCAUGGAUCUACUCGAAGGUCUCUCUAGGUUAGCCGCUUUAUGUACAUCUUUAAGCGGGCCUCGACUACCACCAUGUUAUCCUUAUACUCGACCAGUGUUUGCUCGACAUUAGAAGAGUUUGCAUCAAAUUUGGACCUUAGUGCGGCAUAUUCAUGUCCGAGGGAAUCCUAUUCCAUGACGGUUAAGUCCAGCUAUGCCCGGAGAUCAUCAUUUAGCUAAGACCACUUAUCGACUUUGUCCUUUGCCACUUGGAGUUGGUCCUUGGCCGAUGUUAACUCCUUUUUUGCAACCUCUUUCUCUAAAGCCAACAUGUCCAUCCUGCCCUUCCAUGCUUCAGUCAUGGCCUUAACCUCAUCGAUCUCAUCCCGAAGCUGGUUGAUCAGAUAUAUCUUCUCUUAGACCUGCGAAGUUGUGUUGUUAGUCACCCCGAGUAGCUUUUUGUUUUUAGCCUCAAAGAUCUUUACCUUCUCAACCAGGUCGGCGUCCUCCCGCUUUAAGGUCGAGGCCUCUUUCAGGGUCUUUUCCAGCUCCUCUAGAAGAAUCAGGAGGUCUUUGAGAGCCUCGUCUUGUUUCUCACUAAGAGUCCUGUAUGUCAUUCUUUCGAAUUUUCUCCUUGAGCUUGAAAUCGAGUUGGCUGAUCUCUAAGAGGAACCGAAGGAAACUUUCAUGAUGAAGCACUGAAGCAUUAAAAAUAAUAAAGUUUUUAGAACACAUCUAAAACUAAGUAAGGUUAACAAAUAGGAACAAAGGGAAGACGCCUUACCCAGUUCAGCGCCUAUUGUGCCUCGUUGAAGAGGCUCGAUAUUACCACCCCAUUCAUUUUCGCAUGGUCUUCAUUGGUCACCAAGCACCGAAAGUAGCUAGCUACGGCCACCGGGGCAGAUAAGGCCCGAGCAUACGUUGGAAUAGUAAGAAUGAUCAUUCUUUUGCUUUUGGGGUCUACGUCGGGGGCAAGCAAUUGCUUCACUAGUUUUGGGAUCAAGGUCGGCUCACCCACUCCUGAUGGAAAAUCUUUUUUGGGAACUUCCAGGUGAGGAAGAACAGAAAAAUCCUCCAAUGCGACCAUGUCCAUGCCGUCAAAGAACGUGUUGAGGUCAUCAUCCGGGCCCUGUGCUAUUUUGUUGGAUUUUUCCUUGCUUUCUUGGGCUUCUUCGAGCAUCGACUCGGUAUAAUAUGGUAUCUCCACGAUGCCAAUGACAGUGGUUGUAUCCUUCGGGACAAGAGCGGGUUCUCAGGAGGCUGCAGUUUCUGUCUCUCCCUCUAGUUCCCGAGCUAGAGGAGGAUCGACCUCAUGGUCCUCUUUCCUGGUCGUCGCCUACUCCCCCUUAUUGAGGGUCGACCCAUGGGCAAUAAACACAAGGUCGUCGUCCUUAGGAUAAUCCCUGAGCCGGUAGAGGGAGUCAGAGUCAGGUACCCUUGACUUGGUACUCUUUUUGCUCUUCCGGACCUUGAUGGUCACCUAUUUCUUCUUCUUCUUCUUCAACCCGAAGACUUUCUUAUCUUCUUGUUUUUCUCUUCUUUUACGGCAACCCCGGGCUGUCCCAAAGUGAAGGGUUCGGCAAGCAAGGACGAAUCCUUGUCCUCAUCCAACGGAUUAAGUUUGAUGGUUUUACAUAAACCUGUAAGGAAAAAAAGCAGUAUGUAAGCUAAAAGUACGAAGGUAAUUAUUUGGGAAAGAACCUCAUUAUAGAAAUGAGCCUUCCAUUUGCCCUUCGAGAGCUGCAUCAUUUGCACUCAGAGUGUGACAUUUUUUUGUAGAUCUUCUUUAUCCACUCCUUGAAGUGGGAAACUGCGAUAGAAACUUGGGCAACAGCUGCAUGAUGACAAACAAGGUAAUGAGAGAAAGAAUAAAGGAAAUCCCAAAUACUCGAUAAGGAAAAAACUUAGGGGAUGCAUUCCACUUCUUGGGGAACUAUAGGAAUUCAGAACGGAUAAGGUCUUCGGUUUUCACAGAACGAACUUGUACACCUGGUCUCUAUCCUCGCGGAUGCUCGAGAACGAAGCCUUACUUGCUCGGCGAACGAGCUUGAUCAGUCCCCCUCAGAAGAUUUGGGGGUCGUAUAGGCAAAGAAAAUGAUCGCGGGUGAACCAGGGUGCUUCAUUGUUAUUUACAAAGUGUCAUAAAAGGAUUAUAAUCCUCCAAAAAGACGGGUGGAUUUUUCCAAGGUACACCUCAUACCUUUUGCACAAGGCAAGGACUAUGGGAUCCACCGGGGUAAGCGUGAAAGGUAAGUAUAAACACUUAAGUACCCCUACACGUUGUAAUGAUAUAACAACCACCUCAUUACCCUCCUAGGUACAAUCCACCCAGACUAUGGAUAGUGUUUUCUCAAUAACAUAGCAUAUAUAUCUCCAUGCUCCCUCACCUCGGUCAUGUUGACUAGAGGACUUCGUAAUUUUGAAAUCGUUUCCAAUAGAGCAGCCCCCAUGUACGAAACUCUUCACGGGGGCUCCUAAGCCAUCCCGGGAGCGGCCACCUCGAUAUCUAUGUUUGGUUGAAAGAUGAAUGAGCAGUUUGUUUGGGCACUGACUUGGAAGGUUUUGUCAUCGUAAUCUGGGAAAUAUAAAUGUUUGAAGAAACAUAUGAAGAUUUGAAGAUAUGAUGAAGGUAUGAAGGUCUGGGUUGAUGAUCCAUAGGGAAUAUAUGAGGAUUGAGUAUGAAGAUAUGAAGGUUUAAUGAGGUAUAGAGAUUGGAGGAGUUAAAAGCAAUUAGAGAAUUCGAGGGGAAGUUUUGGAAUCAAAAAGUGGAAGAAGUGAAAAAGGGUCGGAGCUUUUAUAAAGGAAGAACAAUCAACGCGUGAUGUUUUCACAUUUAAGGACUGUCAACCAGCGGUUGACACGUGCCCGAAGUCAGAACGACGUGACUGAUAGGACGAUUUAUAACCCAUCAUUUUGGUUGAAACGUGCAAAGUAAGGAACUGAGGUCCAUUUAUCGCAUCCCGUCAUUCGGUAAACCUACUCUCCGGAAAAUGAGGGAACUAUUUGCAUACGGGUAAAAUAGGGGAUAAAAGCCCACCCUCAUUUCCCAACGAAGAAAUAAGGGGAGAGCACGGAUCCAUGAGAUCGUAAUCGAGGUUUGAGACCUUUCAUAUCGAGAUCGAGGGGGAGCAUACGAUGUAUCCAUCAUCGAAUGUGGUAAAGCAAUGCACCCAGGGCCAAGUAUAAGUUAUAGACCUCGGGGUACACGAUGAACGGUUGUGCAUGGCGGAUAGAGGGUCGUGAUACUUGCCCUCAACCAUAUAUCACAACGUGAAUCUCGAUUGAUGAUUGUGAAUCAACAAUUACGAGAAAGGCCCUCCACCAAAUAUCACGUGCUAAUAUCAAUUGAUGUCAAUUGUGAAUCAACAAUUACCGGGAAAGGAAGAUUUUUACCUUUUAGACUUUUAUUAGGACUAAAACUCUCCUACUAUAUAAAUGAGAGGUUUUCUUUAAAUGGACACAUUGUAGCAAUCCAAUCAAAGUAAUACAAGUUCAUUUUACGUCUUUUAGCUAUUGUUAAAGUUUUGCUCGUUUGUUUUGUUCUUCAUUCACGACUAGACUUGAAUCGAGGGUCUAACCGAGGACGAGAUUGUUUGUUGGUCCAAAUUCAGGCUUUGCCAUAAUAUUGCAACUGAUUUGAAAUUUUAUUUUAUUUCUAACUCAUUCAUUUAAUAUUUUAAAUCGAUCUUGUUGGAUUAAAUUACUAAAAUCGCCUACAAAUUUAAUUACGGUUAAGGGUCAAAACUGCCCUCAACCUAUCGACUCCGGAACAAAAUUGCCCUCCGUUUNNNNNNNNNNNNNNNNNNNNNNNNNNNNNNNNNNNNNNNNNNNNNNNNNNNNNNNNNNNNNNNNNNNNNNNNNNNNNNNNNNNNNNNNNNNNNNNNNNNNNNNNNNNNNNNNNNNNNNNNNNNNNNNNNNNNNNNNNNNNNNNNNNNNNNNNNNNNNNNNNNNNNNNNNNNNNNNNNNNNNNNNNNNNNNNNNNNNNNNNNNNNNNNNNNNNNNNNNNNNNNNNNNNNNNNNNNNNNNNNNNNNNNNNNNNNNNNNNNNNNNNNNNNNNNNNNNNNNNNNNNNNNNNNNNNNNNNNNNNNNNNNNNNNNNNNNNNNNNNNNNNNNNNNNNNNNNNNNNNNNNNNNNNNNNNNNNNNNNNNNNNNNNNNNNNNNNNNNNNNNNNNNNNNNNNNNNNNNNNNNNNNNNNNNNNNNNNNNNNNNNNNNNNNNNNNNNNNNNNNNNNNNNNNNNNNNNNNNNNNNNNNNNNNNNNNNNNNNNNNNNNNNNNNNNNNNNNNNNNNNNNNNNNNNNNNNNNNNNNNNNNNNNNNNNNNNNNNNNNNNNNNNNNNNNNNNNNNNNNNNNNNNNNNNNNNNNNNNNNNNNNNNNNNNNNNNNNNNNNNNNNNNNNNNNNNNNNNNNNNNNNNNNNNNNNNNNNNNNNNNNNNNNNNNNNNNNNNNNNNNNNNNNNNNNNNNNNNNNNNNNNNNNNNNNNNNNNNNNNNNNNNNNNNNNNNNNNNNNNNNNNNNNNNNNNNNNNNNNNNNNNNNNNNNNNNNNNNNNNNNNNNNNNNNNNNNNNNNNNNNNNNNNNNAGGGUUUGGUAUUUUUUGGGUCGGGUCGGUCGGGAUGCUUGUAUUUAAUUUUUAAUUUUUUUUUAAUUCCACGUGUCACGUUUUGAUUAUCCAUUAAAUAAACUUGACCCAAAAUCAAUUCUCACCCAAAUUCCGACCCAACCUGACCCAAAAAAGGUUAACGGAGGGCAAUUUUAUUCCGGAGUCAAUACGUUGAGGGCAGUUUUGACCCUUUUUCCGUUCUUUAUAUGUCGCAAUUUUCCGUUCUUUAUAUGUCCCAAUCAAAACGUGACACGUGGCAUUAGAAAAAAAUUAAAGAUGAAAUUCAAUAUUCUGUUAGCUUUUAGGGGUAGAAAUAGGCCACAAAGUUAACGGCGGGGGCAUUUUCUUCGCCAAAGAUAAUCGGAGGGCAAUUUUGUUCCGGAAUCGAUAAGUUGAGGGCAAUUUUGACCUUAGCCGAUUUAAUUAUUACCCAAGUUUGAGUAACCAAUAGCCUUAAAAUGGAUGACCCAAAUCACAUGGUCAAUUAUUGGUCAAGGGGACCAACAGUUGCUUGUAUUAGAUUCACUCCGUUGGGAUAGCCGAGCCGAGCGAUCUUAUUGCUAAGCCAUAUGGGCAUACCCAUCCCUCCCUAUAGGUAACAGCCACCCGCCUAGGACUCUGCCUUUUAUACUAUUCCCCGGUCCUUCUCUUUUCUCCUUUAUCUGAAUUUUGAUGGAUCUCUCCACUUUACAUCUACUUCUUGACAUACCAAUAGAGAAUAUAGGACAAGAAGGAACGCACACUCUCUCUCUCUGUGGGCAAGACCCACUUUAGAACAAGUGGUAAGUGGACGUGGUGGGCGUGUCAGAAGAUAGAUAAAAAGGCUGAAAACUUGUGGUUAGUUUUAGCCAUGGCGCGGAUUGCAAUAUAUGCCAGCAGUUACGCCUCGUAAAAUAUACCCAAAAUUCUUCUUCUUUUACUAGUAAUUUCUUCAAGAUCUCAUGGCAGCGAAGAAACUAUAUGAGUCUUUUUCAAAGGGACUGUUUGAGGAGGUGCAGCGAUGGGGUUCCAUGAAGCAGACUGGUGUGAGUCUCAAGUACAUGUUGGAGUUUGGCUCCACACCAACUGCCCGCAAUUUGUUGAUUUCUUCUCAAUUCCUUCAUAAGGAACUGCCUAUACGGAUUGCUCGCAGGGCUAUUGACCUCCAAAACCUUCCCUAUGGCUUAUCUCUUAAGCCUGCUGUUCUAAAGCAAGGAACUGCCUAUAAGGAUUGCUCGCAGGGCUAUUGACCUCCAAAACCUUCCUUAUGGCUUAUCUCUUAAGCCUGCUGUUCUAAAGGUAGCUUCUUUUCUCUUUCCUCUUUUGACUUGGAAAUCUUUGAUUAUUCUAUUAAAAAAAAAAUUAUCCCCGCUAUUAUAUUGGUUCACAAGAAAAUUGUUGCUAGGUUUUUAAUUUUAAACUAAUGCGUUAUUGUAAUUUGCUAGGUUUUUC
rnacentral:lncRNA from 1 species